GAAAUGCGAUAAGUAAUGUGAAUUGCAGAAUUCAGUGAAUCAUCGAAUCUUUGAACGCACAUUGCGCCCCCUGGUAUUCCGGGGGGCAUGCCUGUUCGAGCGUCAUUUCACCACUCAAGCCUCGCUUGGUAUUGGGCAACGCGGUCCGCCGCGUGCCUCAAAUCGACCGGCUGGGUUUUCUGUCCCCUAAGCGUUGUGGAAACUAUUCGCUAAAGGGUGCUCGGGAGGCUACGCCGUAAAACAACCCCAUUUCUAAGGUUGACCUCGGAUCAGGUAGGGAUACCCGCUGAACUUAAGC
rnacentral:misc_RNA from 1 species